ACCUUAUCCAAUACCCGAGCUCGUAUAAACUCACAAAUAAGGUGUGAGUGUAUCUAGUUGGCAACCGUAAAUAGCCGAACUACGAGUGAAAUGAUUCUGUCU
rnacentral:ncRNA from 2 species